GUGCAAUUUUUGGAUAAUCGCAUGGUAGGAAUCUACCAUGAGGAAAGUCCAUGCUAGCACCGGCUGUGAUGCCGGUAGUGUUUGUGCUAGGCGAACCAAUAAGCCUAGGGACGUAGCAAUGCGUUACGGCGAUUGAAAGAGCUAAGUCGCAAGAUAUGUUCGAGUAGGUCUGAAAAGUGCCACAGUGACGGAGUUUUUAUGGAAACAUAAAAAGUGGAACGCGGUAAACCCCUCAAGCUAGCAACCCAAAUUUUGGUCGGGGCAUGGGAAAGUCGGAAACAGAACGAACUUUCCUGACUGCAUAAGCAGUAGACAGAUGAUUAUCGAAGGUGGUAGUGCCUAGUACCACUGGAACAAAACAUGGCUUAUAGAA
rnacentral:RNase_P_RNA from 1 species